rnacentral:rRNA from 1 species
UAAAUCUCGUGCCAGCCACCGCGGUUAUACGAAAGACCCUAGUUUAUAAAUACGGCGUAAAGGGUGGUUAAGGGAUAAAAAAAUAAAGCCGAAGACCUGCCAAGCCGUCAUACGCCCAUGAAGGCAUAAAGCCCAUACACGAAAGUAGCUUUAACAUAAAUUACCUGACUCCACGAAAGCUAGGGUACAAACUAGGAUUAGAUACCCCAC